AGAAGAGGACAGUGGAACUCCAUGUGUAGCGGUGGAAUGCGUAGAUAUAUGGAAGAACACCAGUGGCGAAGGCGGCUGUCUAGUCUGUAACUGACGCUGAGGCUCGAAAGCAUGGGUAGCGAACAGGAUUAGAUACCCUGGUAGUCCAUGCCGUAAACGAUGAGUGCUAAGUGUUGGAGGGUUUCCCCCUUCAGUGCUGCAGCUAACGCAUUAAGCACUCCGCCUGGGGAGUACGACCGCAAGGUUGAAACUCAAAGGAAUUGACGGGGGCCCGCACAAGCGGUGGAGCAUGUGGUUUAAUUCGAAGCUACGCGAAGAACCUUACCAGGUCUUGACAUCUUCUGCCAAUCUUAGAGAUAAGACGUUCCCUUCGGGGACAGAAUGACAGGUGGUGCAUGGUUGUCGUCAGCUCGUGUCGUGAGAUGUUGGGUUAAGUCCCGCAACGAGCGCAACCCUUAUUAUCAGUUGCCAGCAUUCAGUUGGGCACUCUGGUGAGACUGCCGGUGACAAACCGGAGGAAGGUGGGGAUGACGUCAAAUCAUCAUGCCCCUUAUGACCUGGGCUACACACGUGCUACAAUGGACGGUACAACGAGUCGCGAAGUCGUGAGGCUAAGCUAAUCUCUUAAAGCCGUUCUCAGUUCGGAUUGUAGGCUGCAACUCGCCUACAUGAAGUUGGAAUCGCUAGUAAUCGCGGAUCAGCAUGCCGCGGUGAAUACGUUCCCGGGCCUUGUACACACCGCCCGUCACACCAUGAGAGUUUGUAACACCCAAAGCCGGUGAGAUAACCUUCGGGAGUCAGCCGUCUAAGGUGGGACAGAUGAUUAGGGUGAAGUCGUAACAAGGUAACCAAGGGCGAAUCG
rnacentral:rRNA from 1 species